CUCAUGUAAUGGACGCUCGCACCGGGGACAACUUGGUAGCACACAUCAAAGUGGGAGAGACAUAUCACAUCAGAAAAGAGCCCUGCGCACGUCGGAGCAUUUGGAGGCAGCCCUAGGACGCGCUACCAACAGCAGGCUAAUGGAACAUGAAGGAUGGACUUUUUCGACCGAAAAUACAUCCGUUGUGGACCUGGGAUUCCUGGAAGUGCUUUCUGAUGAAGACAACUCAAGUAUGUAAAAGCUGGAAGUGGAAGCAUAAGUAUACAUACACGGCUGGACAAGAUGGAAACGGACACAGUGACAGUGCGCACCGAGGAAGAGAGGUCACGGACAGACAGAGCUGAAACUUCACUGCUUGACAUGUAUUCUGGUUGAGAAUAAAACGACUGAACAAAUGAACAAGGAAACAGCACAGCAAGUAAGUGAAAGAAAUAGGUUUUGAUUAUGUUUUACUGGUAAUGGGGACAUACGUAAAUGCCAACAAAAUUAAUUUUUGGUCAGUGUGGUGUGUCUGUG
rnacentral:lncRNA from 1 species